rnacentral:misc_RNA from 1 species
GUUGGCUUCUAGAGGGGGAAGGCCAUCAUCAUCACUUGAGUCAACCUCAGCCUCUUCUUGUCGAUUAUUCUCUGCUUGCAGAAUUUCGUUUCGAUCUCCAACAAUUGCAUUCUUGAAGAUUUCUGGCCAUUCUGGGGAUUUUUGAAGCUCGCGAACUUGUUCAAAAUAUAGAACUCGAGAAACAAUGCAUGCCACCUUGCUUCCAGAUUCAAGAGCAUUCUUCUUUCCACUUUCAUCAACUACAACGAAGCUCCCUCGUUUUAUCCACAUACUCUUUUGAAACUUGGCAGGAAAUAAU